GGGCUCUUAGCUUAGUUGGUAGAGUGCCUGCUUUGCACGCAGGAGGUCAGGGGUUCGACUCCCCUAGAGUCCA
rnacentral:tRNA from 1 species